CACACCUCCCAUCCAUGAUUAAAUAAUCUCCCACCAGGCCCCACCUCCAACAUUUGGGAUUACAAUUCCAAGUGAGUUUUUCUAGAGGCACACAACCAAAUCAUAUUAUGCUGACCUUGACCCCCCCAAAUCCCAUGUCCUUCUCACACAGUAAAAUACAAUCACACCUGUUCAAAAGUUUCCAAAAGCCUUAACUCAUUCCCGCAUUAACUCAAGUGUGAAAAGUUAAAAGUCUCAUCUGAGACAAGGCCCUUCUGCCUAUGAGUCCCUGAAAUUAAAAGCACACUCCUUUCUUUCAAGGAACAAUGAUGGUACAGGUAUUGGGUAAGUUUUCUCAAUCCAAAGGGAAGAAAUUUCCAAGAAAAAUAACACAAGUGGGACCACAGGCCCAAUGCACAUCCAAAACCCAGCAGGACACUGUUCAUUCAAUCUCACAGCUCCAAAAUCAUGAAUAGAACUCACUCUCAGAAGGGCAGCAUUAAGGAGAUGGUGUUUACCCAUUUGUGAAGGAUCCACCCCCACUCCUGCCUUUUAC
rnacentral:lncRNA from 1 species